UUUACAGUUGGCAUUUCUGAUUUUUAGGAGAAAAUAUUCUCUAUUAUUCCUACCCUUAUGCAUUUUUCUUACACUCUAUAUAAAGAAAUAACCCUCACUCAUAAGGGGAGGAAUUCUUUUCAACAUAUUCACUCUCAAAAUAGGCACACACAAAUACUUAGACAGAAAAUUUCAGAAUUCAAUCUGGAUCUUCUCUACUGAUUUUAACAUCAGAUUUCUGCUGGAAUUUACUGUUUUGGUUGUUGAGUUUGCUUAUUCUUUGAAUCAAGCUGUUGUGAGAUUCUGGGUUUAGUUGUCCCCAAAUUCAGAGAUUUAUCUUUUUGCCCUUGUGUUCUUUUGCUCCUUGCUGUUUCUUAGGUCAAAGCUAGGCAGUAAUUAAAUUUGAUCACCAAUUGAUCAAAUCUAUCACUGAUUAGAUUUCAAGCCAACCGGGUAGUAAUGAAGGGAGUAUCAGGAUCCCUGCUGGUUAAAUCAAUUAGCCCAGACGGGGUCAGAAUCAGGCCAUAACACUUCACAUAAAUGUAAUUUAUCUAGUGCAUCAAGUGCAAUCAGUAGGACUAUGCAAUGUCAUUUCUUAUUAUUAAUUAUAAUAUAAUUGAAGUCUGUCGUAUGAGUUUCUAUCCAUAUUAUACAUUUUUCUUUUGGUUA